rnacentral:rRNA from 1 species
CCUACGGGCGGCUGCAGUGGGGAAUUUUGGACAAUGGGGGAAACCCUGAUCCAGCCAUCCCGCGUGUGCGAUGAAGGCCUUCGGGUUGUAAAGCACUUUUGUCAGGGAAGAAAAGGUUCUGGCUAAUAUCCGGAACUGAUGACGGUACCUGAAGAAUAAGCACCGGCUAACUACGUGCCAGCAGCCGCGGUAAUACGUAGGGUGCAAGCGUUAAUCGGAAUUACUGGGCGUAAAGCGUGCGCAGGCGGUUCGGAAAGAAGGAUGUGAAAUCCCAGGGCUCAACCUUGGAACUGCAUUCUUAACUACCGGACUAGAGUAUGUCAGAGGGGGGUAGAAUUCCGCGUGUAGCAGUGAAAUGCGUAGAUAUGCGGAGGAAUACCGAUGGCGAAGGCAGCCCCCUGGGAUAAUACUGACGCUCAUGCACGAAAGCGUGGGUAGCAAACAGGAUUAGAUACCCCUGUAGUC